CUUCCACAUGAGGCGGGCUGGAUCUCUCGGGGUUACAGCCUUGCUGAAUUAUUCACCCUUGUCUUUUGCGUACUUCUUGUUUCCUUGGUGGGUUCGCCCACCACUAGGACAAACAUAAACCUUUUGUAAUUGCAAUCAGCGUCAGUAACAAAUUAAUAAUUACAACUUUCAACAACGGAUCUCUUGGUUCUGGCAUCGAUGAAGAACGCAGCGAAAUGCGAUAAGUAGUGUGAAUUGCAGAAUUCAGUGAAUCAUCGAAUCUUUGAACGCACAUUGCGCCCUUUGGUAUUCCAAAGGGCAUGCCUGUUCGAGCGUCAUUUGUACCCUCAAGCUUUGCUUGGUGUUGGGCGUCUUGUCUCUAGCUUUGCUGGAGACUCGCCUUAAAGUAAUUGGCAGCCGGCCUACUGGUUUCGGAGCGCAGCACAAGUCGCACUCUCUAUCAGCAAAGGUCUAGCAUCCAUUAAGCCUUUUUUCAACUUUUGACCUCGGAUCAGGUAGGGAUACCCGCUGAACUUAAGCAUAUCAAAACGGGGAAGGAAA
rnacentral:rRNA from 1 species